UACGUAGGGUGCGAGCGUUAAUCGGAAUUACUGGGCGUAAAGCGUGCGUAGGCGGUUCGUUAAGUUCGUUGUGAAAGCCCCGGGCUCAACCUGGGAACUGCAAUGGAAACUGGCGGGCUUGAGUGUGGCAGAGGGGGGUGGAAUUCCGCGUGUAGCAGUGAAAUGCGUAGAGAUGCGGAGGAACACCGAUGGCGAAGGCAGCCCCCUGGGCUAACACUGACGCUCAGGCACGAAAGCGUGGGGAGCAAACAGG
rnacentral:rRNA from 1 species